rnacentral:miRNA from 1 species
AACGGCGGCAAUUUGUUUACAG